AUUGAACGCUGGCGGCAGGCCUAACACAUGCAAGUCGAACGAGUGGCGGACGGGUGAGUAAUAUCUGGGAAACUGCCCGAAGUAGGGGGAUAACUACUGGAAACGGUAGCCAAUACCGCAUACCAUCGGAUGUGCCCAGAUGGGAUUAGCUAGUAGGUGGGGUAACGGCUCACUUAGGCGACGAUCCCUAGCUGGUCUGAGAGGAUGACCGGCCACACUGGAACUUAGACACGGUCCAGACUCCUACGGGAGGCAGCAGUGGGGAAUAUUGCACAAUGGGCGAAAGCCUGAUGCAGCCAUGCCGCGUGUAUGAAGAAGGCCUUCGGGUUGUAAAGUACUUUCAGCGAGGAGGCGUUACUCGCAGAAGAAGCACCGGCUAACUCCGUGCCAGCAGCCGCGGUAAUUC
rnacentral:rRNA from 1 species